GUACUCGCUUCAGCAGCACAUAUACUAAAAUUGGAAUGAUACAGAGAAGUUUAGUAUGGGCCCUGCACAAGCAUGACAUGCAAAUUCGUGAAGCAUUCCAUAUUCUU
ensembl:snRNA U6 U6 spliceosomal RNA